rnacentral:tRNA from 1 species
CAAGAAGUAGUUUAAUUAAAAUAUUAAUUUUGGAGAUUAAUGAUAAAGGUAUUUCUUUUUUCUUGA